AGAAGUAGCCUGGAUGACAUGAUUACUGAAGGUAAUUAUUAACUGGACAAGGUGUUGCACUGCUGCAUUAAAAUUGGACAUUUUCCAUUUGUCCACAUGUGAUGGAACGGUCUAGCCCUACCUAAAUUCAGUUUGUCAAACCUCAUGUAAAAUAUAUCUGUCUACACUCAUGCGCGAAGAAAGUUAUUAGCAUCAUAUUGAAUUCAAAUCUGCUAAUUAUCCCAGUUGCUCCAGAAGGCCCUCAACCAAAGCAUACUCUAGAAGCUGGAGACAUUCAGCAACAAUGUUUUCAUUGUAGGAUCUGUACAAGUAAUAGAUGUGUCAUUUGAUUAGAUAGAAAACGGAUUAAGAGUGUGUUGGAACAACCACAUAAUUUCCUUAUGUUUGCCCAUAUGGAUCUACCUUCCAAAAUUAACCUGAUGCAUAUACAUUUAGGACAACAUACAUGUAUCAUUACGACCACUUCAACAUAUGAAUAAAUACUUGGAUAUUGGAUUGGAUAUGUCACUUCAUGUGAACUAACCUGGCCAGCAGCCAUUCGGAUCCUUGGCUGAAGAACUCUGGAGCCAAAAAUCUCAUCAAUCAAGGGCUUGGACAACAGUACCUACAAAUUAGGAGUGGAAAGAAGCUUCAGCAGGAGCCCAAACUGAGUGCAAACACUCAGUCAUGAAGGGAUUGUAGUGAGAAGGAAAAUUUACAGUAAAUUUUCAAGAUGAAGGGGCAACCUAAUGGAGACGCGUAACUCCAGGGAUGUUUAUUGCCGGAGGAAGAAUGGGGAAAUAACUUGGGUGACUGGACAGAGCAUAUGUAGGCGGAGCAGCCAAGCUGUACCUGACCUCCACUCCAUUAAUGGCCUGUAGGAUUAGGAACGGCUGGUCUACUCCUUGCGUUAACAACGGCGGGUGAAUUCCAAUCGCGCACAACAUAGAAACUGACAAUUCAACUCCAUUAACUGCUCUUAAUGGCCAG
rnacentral:lncRNA from 1 species